GCCUGUCAAAUCAAUCAUUUAUCCAAUGAUUCCGAUUGAACACGUUUAUGAAAUAUCUUGAUAAAAAGUCCAGAUAAAAUUUUGUAGUCUCACUGUAAGUUGUUAAGACAAGAAACAAUUAAUGCGCGCGUAACACUUUUGUUUUAAACCUGACCCGUGCUGGUUCAUUCAUUGAACAGCACUUACAUUUUCGGCAUGCGUGGCGUCGGUAAAACAAACGUAUCCUUUAUCGUGUCAAAGCUGUAAACACCUGCAGGUCUUUGCAAGCCAAGUAUGCUGCCCUAUAAAAGCCAAACAUUCAAUAUUUCAUUGUGCUCAAAAGUGAACAGUAAAACAUUCUGCUAAAUACAAAGUUGCUGUUGAAGAAGCGUUCGAAAAGCUGAACUCCUGCAAAAGUCAUGAAGAAUUUCUUGGUCAUCUUGCUUAUGUUAUCUACCAUGACCCUGUGCUUGGCGAAGCCGAAAUGGAUAUGGUUCGAUGAGGAAGAGAAGAAUGAUGGGGAUUUUAACGAUGAAGUCUUGACAAGAGAAAAAGGAAAGAAUGAUGAGAAUCUGAU